GGGUAGCCAACGCAGUGCCCUCCAGAAGCUAUUAGGCUCCAAGUCCCAUCAGCCGUAGUCAGUGUGUGACCCAUGUGACGAUGCCAUUUGCAAUCUGACACCUGGAGACUGUUAGGUUGGGGGAGGCUGCUUUGCUCCAUUAACUGUUCCCCCAAAUUCUGCUCGCUGAGACUCAAAUAGAUUUAAAUCAUCCAAUUAAUGAAAUGUUUAAUGGUUUACGUCUUCUGGAUUUGUAGACUGGAGGGGGAAAUGAGACUAUAUUGCAUCUUAGGUCUUCUGGUUCAUUGCUGAAAUGGGAAAGAGUGGCAUCAUCAUAAGUAGGGGGCGGGUGGAUGCAGAGGACUCACCAGGGGGUGAAGUCUUACCAGGAAUUGUCACUUCAACUGGAAGGCUUGAGGAAAUUAAUAGAUAGUUAAAUACAAGGAUAUCUUUGAGGUUUAUUUGCAAUCAGAGUCCUGGCAUCUGUGUGAUGCGCCAUUUCCCAGCACACCUGAGGCCUUUCACACUUAGUUUGACAAAUUAAUUUCAAUGCAGACUCCACAAAACUCAUUUAGUCUCUUCACAUCGAGUUCAGUCUUUGCCUCCUCACUUUCCGGCAGGGUAAUGGAGUGUUUUACUUAUCGCUGCCAAAGUCAAACUUUGCAGUUUGCAGACCUGGCUAGACCCCAAGGCAACUUGGAAAAGGGAGAGCACUAAAGGUUGCUUAGACUGACUUCAAAAUGACUGAACAAUUCUUUGCUCCUGUAGCUCAUUUCAAAGUGCUCAUAUCUAUUCAAAAAUGGGCAGGAAAUGUGGGGCACCAACUUUUGUGUAUGGUAGAACUAUGUGCAAAUGGGCUCUUGAAAUCCUCUGCUCUAUUUCUAGAGUCUGGAAGGAACAUUUCACCCAAUUUCUCUAGGGGGCAAGAUAGAUUUCUAAAGGUAUUCACUAUUAUCUGUGGCUUAUCUUUUUCCAUGCUGGCUGGGGCUUGCAGGAGUUGUGCUUCCAAAAAUCUGAAUGGCACCAGGUUGAGGAAGACUCCUGUUCCAAGAAUAGCUAACAUGUGACCCAUAAGCUGCUGCUGGACCCCAUCAUCCCUGACUGUUGGCCAUGCCAGCAGAAGCUGAUGGGUGUUGGUGUUCAACAGGGCUGGCAUUUUGCCACUUGAGGCAAAAUGCCACCUCGCUGUGACCUGUCACCACCACCAGUGGAGAAGUGGCACCGUUACUGGCAUUGAUUUCCAGUGAGAUCUCACCAAAGUCUCAUGAAAUCUGGCACACUCCAUGAGAUCUCAUGGAAGUCCAGUGAAAUCUCCUGAGAUGUCACCAGAAAGCAGCACCGACCCCAGCACCUCUUCUCCAUCAGAGGUGGUGGGGCAGGCAGGGUGCCCAUGAGGUGGUUGCUUCACCCUGCCCCAAUGGGCGGACUGGGCCUGAUGGUCAAUGAGAUAUUGGGGGGGGGCACAGCUUAGCUGUCCCAUGCACCUGUAAUGGCUGUGUGAACUCUGGGUACACCCUUUCUGUGGGUGUCCUGAUUGCACAUAAUCCCAGCAUGUGAGCUGGAGUUCACAAACUGGGAACUCUUUACAGUCAAUGAUGAAUGACAUUCUUCAUACAGGAAGUGAGUGUCUCUUUUUAGGGUGUGGCGGAAAGCAUGUCUCUGCUCCUAAAUCAGCUUGCAAUUAAUUGCUGUACCCAUGAGUAAUGUGCAGCAUACUGCGUAGAGGAACCACCAAUGCAGUUUGAAGCCACUCUUGUACAGCAACUGGUCUAUGUUAAAAGUCCAGCGAAGCUCACCAUACAAAUCUUCUUCCUAGAGAAGUCCUCCCAGCACCAACAUAACAUUGUCAUUGUUUUAAUGCCAGUAAAAGAUUUUGUUUUCGUUUCUCUGGGAAUUUGAAAGUGUUAAUAACGUGAUAUUCCACUGCUAAAAUAAGUUGUUUUAAAUAAUGUUUAUGUAUUUUUUAACAUUUACUUUGGUCAUUAAUUGCUUUUGGGCUUUUUUUGUAGGAACUGAUAAACACACUGAAGAAGCCUAGAUGACCUGCAGAGACCUAGGUUUGCCUACCCAGAAAUUCCAGAGCACAUUUUGAUCCUGAGGGCCAGUGUGGUGUAGUGGUGAGUGUUUUACUUGGACCUGGGAGACCAGGGUUCAAAACCCCAUUUGGCCAUGAAGCUCACUGGGUGGCCUUGGGCCAGUCACUAUCUCUUAGCCUAAGUUACUUUGUUGUUAUGAGAAUAAAAUGGGGAGGAGGAGAACUAUGCCUUAAGCUCUUGGGGGAAGGAGGGAGGAUAUAAAUGCAAUAAAACAAACAAACAAAAAUAGGGUCCGUAUCCAAUGUUAGAUCUACUCAGGGUAGACCCACUGAAAUUAAUGGACAUGACUAAGGGCAGAUCCACACCAUACAUUUAAAGCACACCCAACUCACAUUUAAAGCACACGACUUCCCCCUAAGAAUACUGGGAACAGCAGUUUCUUCCUCACAGAACUUCAGUUCCCAGAAUCCUUAGCAACUUACAUCUCCCAGGAUUCUUUGGGGAAAAGUUAGUUUGAAAUCUGUGUUUACCUACAAGAGAGCCUUACCCCAUAUAUGCCCAUUCAACCAUUGCAAUCGGCAGAACCGGAACUGCUACAGGUGGCAUACAAAAUUGUACCUGUUCCACAUUUAUACACACUCUUUUAAUAUGGCUGCAGCUAUACUUUGAAACUUCCUGCCUAUUGAGAUCAGUCAGGCGCCUUCACUGUACUCUUUUUUUUGGAGCCUGCUAAAACUCUUCUUUUUUUUUUAGACAAGCCUACCCAGGUGUUUAGAAAGUUGAUGUGAGUUUCCAUCUGUUUCUAGUCUAUUGUUAUUUAACUCUUCAAAAGACUUCAAU